rnacentral:tRNA from 1 species
GGGCCCUUAGCUCAGCUGGUAGAGCACCUCAUUUGCAAUGAGGGGGUCAGCGGUUCGAAUCCGCUAGGGUCCACCA